rnacentral:rRNA from 1 species
CAUGCAGUCGAACGAGACCUUCGGGUCUAGUGGCGCACGGGUGCGUAACGCGUGGGAACCUGCCCUUAGGUUCGGAAUAACUCCCCGAAAGGGGUGCUAAUACCGGAUAAUGUCUUCGGACCAAAGAUUUAUCGCCUUUGGAUGGGCCCGCGUAGGAUUAGCUAGUUGGUGGGGUAAAGGCCUACCAAGGCGACGAUCCUUAGCUGGUCUGAGAGGAUGAUCAGCCACACUGGGACUGAGACACGGCCCAGACUCCUACGGGAGGCAGCAGUGGGGAAUAUUGGACAAUGGGCGAAAGCCUGAUCCAGCAAUGCCGCGUGAGUGAUGAAGGCCUUAGGGUUGUAAAGCUCCUUUACCCGGGAUGAUAAUGACAGUACCGGGAGAAUAAGCUCCGGCUAACUCCGUGCCAGCAGCCGCGGUAAUACGGAGGGAGCUAGCGUUGUUCGGAAUUACUGGGCGUAAAGCGCACGUAGGCGGCGAUUCAAGUCAGAGGUGAAAGCCCGGGGCUCAACCCCGGAACUGCCUUUGAACUAGAUUGCUAGAAUCCUGGAGAGGCGAGUGGAUUCCNAGUGUAGAGNUGAAAUUCGUAGAUAUNCGGAAAACACCAGUGGCGAAGGCGACUCGCUGGACAGGAUUGACCUGAGGUGCGAAGCGUGGGA